rnacentral:rRNA from 1 species
AUGCUACCACCAAAUAUGCUCAAUGCUGCAACUGGUGCUAUGCGGAGUCUGCACGACAGUGUUCUUUCUUUGGAGAAGCGGCGUCUCAGAGAGAAGGAUGUGGCAUACCCGGUUUUCGUGGCCAAGGUGCCAGAGGGCAAGGGCUUUGUGGAUGGCGACAUCGGGGGUACGAUCGUCCUGCGGUUUGAUGACAUCUUUGCUAUGUUUAACCUUCAUCCGCUGCACUACACCUUCGUUCGGCUAUUUUCGCUGAGUAUGGAGAUGCGGAUCAUUCGCGACAAGACCCCGGACAUCGUGAUAGUCGACCCCUUCUACAUGCGUGCCAAGAUCUUGGGCAACGCUGGGGACCGGCAAGUCGCGAGUUCUUACCUCGAAGGCGUCAUUCUGGCAAACCAAGAUAAGGAUAACUUCCUCGUGCCUUACUUUCCCGAGUAA